CACGGGGGGAGCAAGCGUUGUUCGGAAUCACUGGGCGUAAAGGGCGUGUAGGCGGUUGAGCAAGUGGAAUGUGAAAUGCCCCGGCUUACCCGGGGACCGGCAUCCCAAACUGCUCGACUUGAGUACGGGAGAGGAUGGAGGAAUUCCUGGUGUAGCGGUGAAAUGCGUAGAUAUCAGGAGGAACACCGGUGGCGAAGGCGUCCAUCUGGCCCGAUACUGACGCUGAGGCGCGAAAGCUAGGGUAGCAAACGGG
rnacentral:rRNA from 1 species